GGACAUUAGAUAUUCUUUGAGAGACGGCAGGUACUUGAGUAAACAAGAAAUGCCCACCAUAGGCCUGAAGGAGAAGUUUCCCUUUUAACCUACUCUCUUGGAUCACAGAUGGAGAGACAUUUUGCCACACGAUGAAUCACACACCACAUCUCAUCCCCGAGCUUCAGCUGCAGGACAAUGCUGCCAGAGGCCUGGUCCUCAGAGCUCACGUAAGCAUCUCUGGUGUGCAGUAUUUUUACUCCGUUUUUGACCAAAGACACCUGAACAUUCCUGGAGAAAACAGUGAUGUGGAUCUUAUCAAAUUUAAUGGGCACAUCUGAAGAAGGAAACUUGCUCAGCACCGUGAGCCCCACAGUGAAAGCACUUUUUGGCAAGACUAGAGUCUCACCGAUUUUCCCUUUCUCUCCUCGAUCUCCUUUCCAGCCUCUUAUUCCCCGGACUCCUGGCUCACCCUGGGGCCCCGUGGGUCCAGCUUCUCCCUUGGGACCAGGCUUUCCAAUAGGGCCCAUGGGGCCCGGUAAACCAGUUGGGCCCAAAGGCCCAAUGUUGCCCCUUGGCCCCUCAGGACCAGUGGGACCCACGUCACCCUUAUUCCCCUUCUGCCCCUGAGGCCCAGUCUCUCCUCGGAGGCCUUUCUCUCCCAUGGGCCCUGCAAGCCCCUUGGGGCCAUGUUUUCCUGGGGAUCCUCUUGAGCCUUGAUCACCUUUGAUGCCUUUUGCUUCAACUUUUCCAUCUGCUCCUAAAUAGAGAAAGAGCAA
rnacentral:lncRNA from 10 species